UUUAGCGAUUUUUUUUCGCGUUUCGCGGACUGAUUUACUUUAUAAGUGAUACGUGUGACUUGUGAAAGCGUCAGGGAUACGGUAGUAGUGAGAUUACUACUUGAAUAACUUACAAUUCCACGAAAAUUGUUACAUCGAGCUGCCUGGGUGAUGGUGAAGAGGUUCAAUAGGCCUACUGAAGAAUUUACGGUUUAUGAUGGCGGCUAGGCCUAGCUCUCAAUUUCUCCAGUUCGCCGUGCAAGAGGAAUCCUCGGUGAGUGUUGAAAUGACAGUUUUAUUGAAGGUUGUUUAUAUUACUUCUUCAGUUG